UAUACAGUCAACAUAUCAUUAUAAAUUGAUUUUAUUUAUUUAUUUAUUUAUUUUUGAGACGGAGUCUUGCUCUGUCACCCAGGCUGCAUCUUACAUGAUCUUGGCUCACUGCAAUCCCCGCCUUCUGGGUUCAAGCAAUUCUCGAGUCUCAGCCUUUGUACUAGCUGGGAUUACAGGCACCCACCACCACGCCCAGCUAAUUUUUUGUAUUUUUAGUGGAGACGG
rnacentral:lncRNA from 1 species